AACGAACGCUGGCGGCAUGCCUAACACAUGCAAGUCGAACGAGACCUUCGGGUCUAGUGGCGCACGGGUGCGUAACGCGUGGGAACCUGCCCUUAGGUUCGGAAUAACUCCCCGAAAGGGGUGCUAAUACCGGAUAAUGUCUUCGGACCAAAGAUUUAUCGCCUUUGGAUGGGCCCGCGUUGGAUUAGCUAGUUGGUAGUGUAAAAGCCUACCAAGGCGACGAUCCAUAGCUGGUCUGAGAGGAUGAUCAGCCACACUGGGACUGAGACACGGCCCAGACUCCUACGGGAAGCAGCAGUGGGGAAUAUUGGACAAUGGGCGAAAGCCUGAUCCAGCCAUGCCGCGUGAGUGAUGAAGGCCUUAGGGUUGUAAAGCUCUUUUACACGGGAUGAUAAUGACAGUACCGGGAGAAUAAGCUCCGGCUAACUCCGUG
rnacentral:rRNA from 1 species